rnacentral:rRNA from 1 species
UACAGAGGGUGCGAGCGUUGUCCGGAAUCACUGGGCGUAAAGGGCGCGUAGGCGGCGCGGUAAGCGUGCGGUGAAAGCCCGGGGCUCAACCCCGGGUCGGCCGUGCGGACUGCCGGGCUGGAGCACUGUAGAGGCAGGUGGAAUUCCAGGUGUAGCGGUGAAAUGCGUAGAGAUCUGGAGGAACACCGAUGGCGAAGGCAGCCUUCUGGGCCAACACUGACGCUCAUGCACGAAAGCGUGGGGAGCAAACAGG